GGGCACCUACGGGGGCCUCUCACAUAGCGGGGAUUGAUCCUCGCGCUUGCUAAACGGAAGACAGAAA
rfam:Silicibacter lacuscaerulensis ITI-1157 genomic scaffold scf_1113211289287, whole genome shotgun sequence.